AAGGGGUGCUGUGCUUUUUGGCACGGCUGAGAUUAUACCCACUGAACCUGAUACGGGUAAUGCCGGCGCAGGGAAAGGUAAAC
rnacentral:ncRNA from 1 species